UACGUAGGGUGCAAGCGUUGUCCGGAAUUAUUGGGCGUAAAGAGCGUGUAGGCGGCCCGAUUAGUCCGCUGUGAAAGUCCAGGGCUCAACCCUGGAAUGCCGGUGGAUACUGUCGGGCUAGAGUCCGGAAGGGGCGAGUGGAAUUCCUGGUGUAGCGGUGAAAUGCGCAGAUAUCAGGAGGAACACCGGUGGCGAAGGCGGGUCUCUGGGCAACUACUGACGCUGAGGAGCGAAAGCCAGGGGAGCAAACGGG
rnacentral:rRNA from 1 species